GACGAACGCUGGCGGCGUGCUUAACACAUGCAAGUCGAACGGAAAGGCCUCUUUCGGGGGGUACUCGAGUGGCGAACGGGUGAGUAACACGUGAGUAACCUGCCCUUGACUUUGGGAUAACUUCAGGAAACUGGGGCUAAUACCGGAUAGGAGCUCCUGCUGCAUGGUGGGGGUUGGAAAGUUUCGGCGGUUGGGGAUGGACCCGCGGCUUAUCAGCUUGUUGGUGGGGUAGUGGCUUACCAGGGCUUUGACGGGUAGCCGGCCUGCGAGGGUGACCGGCCACAUUGGGACUGAGAAACGGCCCAGACUCCUACGGGAGGCAGCAGUGGGGAAUAUUGCACAAUGGGUGGAAGCCGGAUGCAGCAACGCCGUGUGCGGGAUGACGGCCUUCGGGUUGGAAACCGAUUUCGCUCAUGACGAAGCUUUGUGUGACGGUAGUGGGUAAAGAAGCACCGGCUAACUACGUG
rnacentral:rRNA from 1 species